ACUGUUCUGUAGCAUUUAUUUGCAUUUGUCAGCUCCACUGUCUGGAAUGGGCUAUAAGGAAAUAAAUGGGGAAGAGAUAUAAUGACUACUCAUUGAGAGUUUGCAGGAAGCCUGUAUCUGACUCACUUCUCUUUUCCAUAGUGGACUGUGCUGUUGAGCACGUGAGAGAGUUGGUCCUGUGUUGAUAACAAAUCAGGAACAGAUACAAACCUUCCUGGUCCUGAAACCCAUCUGGUCUGCCACGCACAGUGAGAUUUGCUUAGGCAAAGACAGAAAGGGUUGUUGAGGAUUUCAGAGAAUUUACAGUGAGGGGCAGUUUCCUCCUAGCAGAAAAAAGGUAGCAAUUCAUCAUAAUAACACGUCAUAGCAUUUUUCUGUCUCUUUAUAGGUUUGACUCUUUUUCCAUUUUGCACAUUUAGAUUUAGUCAUGAUCCCCCUAGUGGACAGUAGAAGUAAUAGUAAUACUGUAUCGUACGUCAUGAUCCCCCUACUGGACAGUAGAAGUAAUAGUAAUACUGUAUCGUACGUCAUGAUCCCCCUACUGGACAGUAGAAGUAAUAGUAAUACUGUAGCGUACGGCGAGGUGUACUUGGCUGACUGAAGGUUUGUAGACUUUCAGAAUGCUGAUCUUAGACCUGCUGUUUUUAUGCUAUGAAUGUUUUAAUUGCACAAAAAAGCACAAAAGUGUAAAUUCACUCAGCCCAAUCCAAUAUACACUGGAUAUUGUUGUACAUUCUGUAUGCAUACUUUCAGUGGAAUUAGAAUAGACUUGCAUUGCUUCUGUAAUUUGAGAAUAAGAACAACAGGGGUCAAAUAUAUUUAGAUUACAAUAGUGCUUAAUCAGACUUCCAGCUGAUCUACAAGUAGGACAUACUACCUACACAGACAUAGAAAUAACAUCAAUAAGAUGUUAGUGUUCUGUGAAAUAUUAAUGAAACAACACACGUGUUUUAUCAGAUGUGUUUUAUUAACAACUUACGUGUCAUUCCCAUUACAGUAACAAUGUUAUCUUAAAGAUGCAGUCCACGAUUUGGUUUCCCAAAGGUUGUUGAUACUUGAGCUGAACAGCCAAUCAAAUGACACCUCCCCCUUCCGUGCACCUGAAGCACCGUGUUGAUUGGUUGGGACUGUUUAUGGCUCUGUCUGUUUCUCAUAUGCAGCGCCAGGGCUGUGUACAAACACCAGCUUUUUGGAGCGGACACUGAAUGG
ensembl:lncRNA